UAGAUACCCUAUUAUUAAAAGUGUAAAUAAAAAUAUUUGAGUAGUAUUUGUUGUGAUCAUGAAACUCAAAGAAUUUGGCGGUAUUUUAGUCUAAUCAGAGGAAUUUGUCCCGUUAUCGAUGAUUCACGUUAAACCUUACUUAAUUUUGUAAUUCAAUUUGUAUACCGCCGUCAUCAGUUUAUCUUAAAAAGGAUUAAAUUUUCUGGAUUUUAUAUUAAAAUUUAUGUCAGGUCAAGGUGCAGUUUAUAAUUAAGUGGAGAUGAAUUACAAUAAAAUAAUUUAAAAUGGAGAUUAAAUUGAAAUUUAUAUUUAAUUGAAGGUGGAUUUGAAAGUAAGUAUUUAAAUUUUAAAAUAUUGAUUUUAGCUCUAAAAUAUGUACACAUCGCCCGUCGCUCUU
rnacentral:rRNA from 1 species